AUGCUACUAACGGGUUUGUUUACUGUGAAGGUUUUCAAAAAUCGUUUCAAGUAUUCAUUCCCGCAUAGCGCGUCCAUAAUUCCUACACUUCUCCCUUUACCUUUUUAUUGUAUAUUACUAUUCUUAUUUAAUAUUUGGUACUGUAAAUAUAUACUUGUAUAUAAUAUUUUGACUGUAUAUUUUAUUCACUUCAUUUGUAAAUAA